ACAGCAGCCGCCGCGGUAAUACGGAGGGUGCAAGCGUUAAUCGGAAUUACUGGGCGUAAAGCGCACGCAGGCGGUCUGACAAGUCAGAUGUGAAAUCCCCGGGCUUAACCUGGGAACUGCAUUUGAAACUGUCAGGCUGGAGUCUUGUAGAGGGGGGUGGAAUUCCAGGUGUAGCGGUGAAAUGCGUAGAGAUCUGGAGGAAUACCGGUGGCGAAGGCGGCCCCCUGGACAAAGACUGACGCUCAGGUGCGAAAGCGUGGGGAGCAGACAGGAUUAGAUACCCCUGUAGUCCCUGUCUCUUAUAC
rnacentral:rRNA from 1 species